AUAGCUCUUCCUGACACAGCCUUGGGUAGUGAAGGCAGCUUGGUCACAUCUGUCCCAUGGUGUAACUAAUCUUUAGGAUCUGCAGAGACCUGCCUUCCUCUGCAAUUGUAACUGUACCUCCAAUCAGAUGUGGUCUCACUAUGUUGUCUAGACUGGCCUCAAACUGCUGGGCUCCUGCGAUCCACCUACCUUGGCCUCCCAAAAUGCUGGGAUUACAGGCGUGAGCCACCAUGCCCAGCCGCUUCAUCUUUCUUUAGUCAUGAGGACUCGGUCAAGACAAUGGUGCCCUCAGGAAGGUUACAAGAGAGCAAGCUGUGCUGCUUUGCCCAUCUUGGGAUGAGUGGCACCUCAUUACUGAGCCAUAAAACAACGGGGCCCAGCAGGUUCCUGGGCAGUCAAAUGGUCCAACCCUCUUGACUUAGAGAUGCGGAAAAUGAGGCCUUGGGGACAAUGCUGUGUCCAUCCAUAAUGGAGCCCAC